rnacentral:snoRNA from 1 species
GGUCUCCUGGUGCUUACCACAGGCUGUGUUCUUACACUGACUGUAUAGAAAAAGGAGGCAGAGUGAGCCAACCCCAUAUACACCUCAGCCCAGGCCUUGCACCUAUGAAUGGGGGACAUGG